rfam:Bacillus sp. FJAT-27986 scaffolf1, whole genome shotgun sequence.
GUGAAGUUGAUCACUAGCAAACAUUUACCCCUUUGUUUGACCGUGAAAAAUUUCUCCCAUCCCCUUUGUUCGUAUGAAGAAUAAGACUCUGUCCGAUUACAGAGUCUUAUUC